AUUGAACGCUGGCGGUAUGCUUUACACAUGCAAGUCGAACGGUAACGGGCCGCAAGGUGCUGACGAGUGGCGAACGGGUGAGUAAUGCAUCGGAACGUGCCCAGUCGUGGGGGAUAACGCAGCGAAAGCUGCGCUAAUACCGCAUACGAUCUAUGGAUGAAAGCGGGGGACCGUAAGGCCUUGCGCGAUUGGAGCGGCCGAUGUCGGAUUAGGUAGUUGGUGGGGUAAAGGCGCACCAAGCCAACGAUCUGUAGCUGGUCUGAGAGGACGACCAGCCACACUGGGACUGAGACACGGCCCAGACUCCUACGGGAGGCAGCAGUGGGGAAUUUUGGACAAUGGGCGCAAGCCUGAUCCAGCAAUGCCGCGUGCAGGAAGAAGGCCUUCGGGUUGUAAACUGCUUUUGUACGGAACGAAACGGCUCUCACUAAUACUGGGGGCUAAUGACGGUACCGUAAGAAUAAGCACCGGCUAACUACGUGCCAGCCGCCGCGGUAAGAC
rnacentral:rRNA from 1 species